AUGGACAUGGACGUUAAGAAAAUAAACUUUGUUUACAUUAAACGAGCGUCGUGAUUUAUUCUGAAGCAAUAAAAAACAACAGAAAAGAUUUCACUGUAAACAUCAAUACCAACCGAAAUUUCAACAGUCUCGCAUAAUAAAUUAGGUAGGUAUGUUGAAAGUUUUUUUUUUCCUACCUAAGCUGAUAGCCUUGAGAGGCUAUAUCAGCGUCGCCUUAACUAGUAGGUGAGCUCACGGGGCUCAAACCUGAUGACGUUGCUAACACGAACCCUAGCAAGAGCCGUGCUUCGCAGAAUCUACCACCGGAUCGGAAACGCGACCCACUGAGAAGAUCCGGCGAGAAACUCAGUGGGCUGUGUCUGAGGGUUAAUUUACUCGUUGAGCCCUUCGUCGCAAGCGACGGGUUCGACGAGAACGAUGACCGGUGCUUGAGGUACCUAAAAGCACCGUUAGUGGAUCGGGAGGAUCCGAAAUGACGUGGGAAAGUCAUUCUACGGAAUCCUUUUUAUAGCUGUAGUUCGGCAGACAAGCGCAGGUCGCUCUUGGUUAAAAGUGGUAACCUUUGGAGUUUACAGAUGGAGCGUCGAGUGUCCUGUAGGUACUAUUGCUCUCCAAUAUUUUAAGCCGGAACAUAUGACUGCUUCACGGUAGAUAUAGUAGGGUGGCACCUACCCGUGCAGUUUCAAGACUUCACUCAACACUUAGGUACUGUGUUUGAUUUCUUACACGAUUUUGUUUUAUUACACAGCAUAUAUCGUGUAAUAAAACUGUUGGAGUUUGUAUAUUAAAUGUAAUGGCAGGCAACACUUGACACUUGAUUAGAUUUCGAAUAUUGGAAUUAUUUUAAAUGUUUUAAAAAACAGAUCAUUGUAUUCUCGUAAGAAAAUGUCAGUAACUUCUCAUCUAGACACGGCAUGAAAAACAUGUAAUAGUUUUAUAAAAAAAUAUAAAGAUAAAAAUUGUAUAAUGGUGUAAAAGUGUUCGAGCAAUCUGCAAUAUAAUUAUAAUGAAGCAGUUGUGUUUUUUAAAUAGCCCCUCAUCAACCUAAAGAACCCAAUCCCCUUCAAAUGUAACCAUCCAACAGGUUAUGGGCCCAGACCAGAAUUUAUAAGGUAAUAUUUAUUAUAGUUUGCUGAUUAAAACAUCACCUACGCCUACAACAUCACCAUGGAAACGAAACUGUUUGUAAAAAAAAUUCUUAGCAACCAAUAUGUAAUGAAUUUAAUGAAAAUAAAACCAUUCAAAAAACAGAAAAUGUUAUAAAAUUUGGCUUAAAGACCAAACAGAAAAUUAUUAUAAGAGCAUGAGAUAAGGUAAUAGAAGGGAGAACACUAACAUAAGUAACAAAGAUAAUCGUAAAGACGAAGUCGACGAAGUUCGAGAAGGUGCUACAGGAAGAUAUGGAGUUAAUGGAGUUCAAGAAGAUGAUUUUAGAGCAGAUAAUAGUAAUGGAGGUAAUGAAGUUCGAGAAGGUGAAAUAGGAAGAAAUGGAGAGUUAGUGGAGUUCGAGAAGGUGAUAUUAGAGGAAAUUAAUAGUAAUGGAGUGUAAUGAAGUAGAAAUGGCGUAAAGUUCGAGAAGAUGUUGUUAAAAGAAAAAAAUAAUAAUAGAGAAACAAAUGAAAAUAGAACAAAUGAUAGCACAUUAAGAAAUGAAAAUCUGGUCAUGGAAAACUUUGAGACUUUAAAUGUAUUCAUUUUUAAAAAAAGUGAACUUGUGUUUCGGGAUAAAUGGGUUAGUUUAAUAAGUUCUUUGGGAAUUUAAAUGUUGUAUUAUACAACAAUAGAUAUAUGUAACUGAAAAGAGACAAGGAUAAUUCAAAAAUUAAGAGGGUGCUCUUUUUCAAAACACACAAACAAUUAAGGGGGUGAUCAUAAAAAUAUAAUUGUUUAUUAAUUAUACUAUAAAUAAAAUAGAUAGUCUAGCCGUGGAAAAAGUACGCAUUAUUUGAUACAAAAAUAUUUAGUCGUUUUUUUAAUAUCCUUUUGAGUCUCUUUUAUAGUUUUGUAUUAUUGUUGUUUUGUUUUUUUAUGGCAGUUUGGAAUUCUUGUUUUUGUGUUAUAUUAAAAUAAUUGAACGGAUAUGUGCAAAAAGUGGGAAAAUUUAGGAAGUGAGAAAAAUAUAAAAGAUAAUGGAAGGUUGUAUGAAUAAUGUAAGGUUGUAUGUGUUAUGUGAAUUGAAAUGUUGAGUUUGUUGAAGUUGUGCGAGGUUAUUUGUUAUGAGUUAUGUGGUUUGUGAGUGGAGUUGUUAAGGUUAAAGAAGUUGAGAGGGAGAUUAUCGUUAAAUAAGUCGAGAAGGAGAUAAAGGAGUUUAAAGGUAAAAGAGUCGAGUAGGAGUUUAAAGGUAAAAGAGUCGAGUAGGAGUUUAAAGGUAAAAGAGUCGAGUAGGAGUUUAAAGGUAAAAGAGUCGAGUAGGAGUUUAAAGGUAAAAGAGUCGAGUAGGAGUUUAAAGGUAAUAGAGUCGAGUAGGAGUUUAAAGGUAAUAGAGUCGAGUAGGAGUUUAAAGGUAAUAGAGUCGAGUAGGAGUUUAAAGGUAAUAGAGUCGAGUAGGAGUUUAAAGGUAAUAGAGUCGAGUAGGAGUUUAAAGGUAAUAGAGUCAAGAAGGAGUUAAGGGUUAGAGUCGAGAAGGAGUUAAAGGUUAGAGUCGAGAAGGAGUUAAAGGUUAGAGUCGAGAAGGAGUUAAAGGUUAGAGGUCGAGAAGGAGUUAAAGGUUAGAGGUCGAGAAGGAGUUAAAGGUUAGAGGUCGAGAAGGAGUUAAAGGUUAGAGGUCGAGAAGGAGUUAAAGGUUAGAGGUCGAGAAGGAGUUAAAGGUUAGAGGUCGAGAAGGAGUUAAAGGUUAGAGGUCGAGAAGGAGUUAAAGGUUAGAGGUCGAGAAGGAGUUAAAGGUUAGAGGUCGAGAAGGAGUUUAAGGUUAGAGGUCGAGAAGGAGUUUAAGGUUAGAGGUCGAGAAGGCGUUUAAGGUUAUUAAAGUAAAGAGGUUGAGAAGGCGUUUAAGGUUAUUAAAGUAAAGAGGUUGAGAAGGCGUUUAAGGUUAUUAAAGUAAAGAGGUUGAGAAGGCGUUAAAAGUUUUAAAAACUUGAAGAGUUUAUGUACGAAGUCGAGAAGGAGUUAGACUAUUAUAGUUAAGGUUUUAUAUAGUGAGUCAAGAGGGAAGUUAAGGUUGAAUGGUUGUAUGGUUGAAUGAAAGUACAUUUUUGAUCGAAUUGGAGUUGGAGAAGUAAGAAAGGAUUAAAGGUAGCGACAUUAAAGAUAGUAUUAAGUUUGAAAGGUUGAAUGAAUAGUUGUUGUUGAAUUGAGAGGGAUUAUGUAGAAGUAACGGAAUGUAAGUGGUUGUGAGGUUUUUUAGGUAUGUAUGGAAAGAAUUAAUUUAUGAAGGUCAGGUUAGCGUUAUUCUUUUUUGGUAUUAAAUUAUAGACGGAGAAUAAUGUGUGCAAGUGUUGAGGGGGUGUGUUGGAGUUUGUAUAUUAAAUGUAAUGGCAGGCAACACUUGACACUUGAUUAGAUUUCGAAUAUUGGAAUUAUUUUAAAUGUUUUAAAAAACAGAUCAUUGUAUUCUCGUAAGAAAAUGUCAGUAACUUCUCAUCUAGACACGGCAAGACAAACAUGUAAUAGUUUUAUUAAAAAAUAUAAAGAUAAUAAUUGUAUAAUGGUUUAAAAGUGUUCAAGUAAUCUGCAAUAUAAUUAUAAUGAAGCA